UACCAGCACCCCGAGUGGUCGGGACGAUUAUUGGGCCUAAAGCAUCCGUAGCCGGCCUUACAAGUCCUCCGUUAAAUCCAGCUGCUUAACAGAUGGGCUGCGGAGGAUACUAUAAGACUAGGAGGCAGGAGAGGCAAGCGGUACUCAGUGGGUAGGGGUAAAAUCCGUUGAUCCAUUGAAGACCACCAGUGGCGAAGGCGGCUUGCCAGAAUGCGCUCGACGGUGAGGGAUGAAAGCAUGGGGAGCGAACAGG
rnacentral:rRNA from 1 species